rnacentral:rRNA from 1 species
CAAUCGAACCCGGAGAUAGCUGGUUCUCCCCGAAAUAGCUUUAGGGCUAGCGUCGCAGCGAGAGAGCCGUGAAGGUAGAGCACUGAAUAUGCGAUGGCCGCAUCCCGCGGUACUGAGCAUAAUCAAACUCCGAAUGUCACGGUGUCAUCUGCGGCAGUCAGACGGCGAGUGAUAAGGUCCGUCGUCAAGAGGGAAACAGCCCAGACCAUCAGCUAAGGUCCCAAAGUGCAUGCUAAGUGGAAAAGGAAGUGGAGACGUGCAGACAACUAGGAGGUUGGCUCAGAAGCAGCCAUCCUUCAAAGAGUGCGUAACAGCUCACUAGUCGAAUGACUCUGCGCCGAUAAUUUACCGGGGCUAAGCAUGACACCGAAGCUAUGGACAGGAAUGUGGUAGGGGAGCAUUGCAUGCAGCGGAGAAGCAUGACCGAGAGGGCAUGUGGAGCGCAUGGAAGAGAGAAUGCCGGCGUGAGUAGCGGCACGUGGGUGAGAAUCCCACGCACCGAUGGCCCAAGGUCUCCAGAGGAAGGCUCGUCCUCUCUGGGAUAGUCGGGACCUAAGGCGAGGCCGAAAGGCGUAGCCGAUGGACGACGGGUGGAUAUUCCCGUACCCGAUGUGUGGCGAUGGAGUGACGGAGAAGGCUCAGGCAACCAGCUGCUGGAAUAGCUGGGGCAAGCGAGAUACCUGCGCACCAGGGAAAUCCGGUGCGCGCAAGGGGAAGGCGCGAAGCAUACGGAAAGCUGCGGCAAGUACGGAAAAGCUGAGAGCAGGCUUCCAGGAAAAGCUUCUAGCACAACACGCAUCGGCCCGUACCGAAAAUGGACACACAUGGGCAAGGAGAGAAUCCUGAGGUGAGCGAGAGAACUAUAGCUAAGGAACUCUGCAAAAUGACCCCGUAACUUAGGGAGAAGGGGUGCUCCAGAAAUGGAGCCGCAGUAAAACGGCCCAAGCGACUGUUUACCAAAAACACAGCUCUCUGCGAAGGCGCAAGCCGAAGUAUAGGGGGUGACGCCUGCCCGGUGCUGGAAGGUCAAGGGGAGCUGUCAGCGCAAGCGAAGCAGCGAGCCGAAGCCCCAGUAAACGGCGGCCGUAACUAUAACGGUCCUAAGGUAGCGAAAUUCCUUGUCGGGCAAGUUCCGACCCGCACGAAAGGCGUAACGAUUUGGGCGCUGUCUCAGCUGUAGACUCGGUGAAGUCUUAGUACCUGUGAAGAUGCAGGUUGCCCGCGACUAGACGGAAAGACCCCAUGGAGCUUCACUGCAGGUUGACAUUGGGCUUGGAUGCAUGAUGUACAGGAUAGGUGGGAGGCUGUGAGCCGUGCGCGCCAGCGUACGGGGAGCCGCUGUUGGGAUACCACCCUUCAUGCAUCUAGGUCCUAACCGGAGGCAACGGGCCACGGGACAGUGUCAGUCGGGCAGUUUGACUGGGGCGGUCGCCUCCCAAAGAGUAACGGAGGCGCCCAAAGAUACCCUCAGCAUGGAUGGAAACCAUGCAUAGAGUGCAAAGGCAUAAGGGUGUCUGACUGCGAGACAUACAGGUCGAGCAGGGACGAAAGUCGGGCUUAGUGAUCCGGCGGAUCCGAAUGGAAGGGCCGUCGCUCAACGGAUAAAAGCUACCCUGGGGAUAACAGGCUGAUCUCCCCCAAGAGUCCACAUCGACGGGGAGGUUUGGCACCUCGAUGUCGGCUCAUCACAUCCUGGGGCUGUAUUCGGUCCCAAGGGUUCGGCUGUUCGCCGAUUAAAGUGGUACGCGAGCUGGGUUCAGAACGUCGCGAGACAGUUCGGUCCCUAUCUGUCGUGGGCGCAGGAUAUUUGAGGAGCUCUGUCCUUAGUACGAGAGGACCGGGAUGGACGUACCUCUGGUGCACCAGUUGUCAUGCCAAUGGCACGGCUGGGCAGCUAUGUACGGAACGGAUAAACGCUGAAAGCAUCUAAGCGUGAAGCCGACUCCAAGAUUAGAUAUCCCAUCGUAUAACGAGUAAGACCCCUUGAAGACUACGAGGUUGAUAGGCUGCGUGUGUAAGUGCCGUGAGGCAUUCAGCUUGGCAGUACUAAUAGGUCGAGGGCUUGACCAC